rnacentral:rRNA from 1 species
GCGCGCUUAAUGCAUGCAAGUCGAGCGAUGAGGCCCUCUUCGGAGGGUACAUCAGCGGCAGACGGGUGAGUAACACGUAGGUGACCUGCCCUAAAGCUGGGGAUAACGGAUGGAAACAUACGCUAAUACCCAAUAGACCUGUGAGGUCGCACUCAUAGGUAAAGCUCCGGCGCUUUAGGAGGGGCCUGCGGCCCAUCAGCUAGUUGGUAGGGUAACGGCCUACCAAGGCGAAGACGGGUAGGGGGUGUGAGAGCACGACCCCCCACAAUGGGACUGAGACACGGCCCAUACUUCUACGGGAGGCAGCAGCAGGGAAUAUUGCACAAUGGACGCAAGUCUGAUGCAGCGACGCCGCGUGGAUGAUGAAGGCCCUCGGGUCGUAAAAUCCUUUUCAGGGGGACGAGGAAGGACGGUACCCCUGGAAUAAGCGUCGGCUAACUACGUGCCAGCAGCCGCGGUAAGACGUAGGACGCAAGCGUUAUCCGGAUUUACUGGGCGUAAAGCGUCUGUAGGCGGUUCGAUAAGUUGGGCGUGAAAGCUCCGGGCUUAACCCGGAGAGGUCGUUCAAUACUGUCGAACUAGAGGACAUCAGAGGAGCAUGGAAUUUCCGGUGUAGCGGUAAAAUGCGCAGAUAUCGGAAGGAACACCAGUGGCGAAGGCGGUGCUCUGGGGUGGGCCUGACGCUGAGAGACGAAAGCUAGGGGAGCGAACCAGGAUUAGAGACCCUGGUAGUCCUAGCCCUAAACGAUGGAUGCUAGGUGUGGGGCCGAGAAGGCUCUGUGCCGCAGUUAACGCGCUAAGCAUCCCGCCUGGGGAUUACGGCCGGAAGGCUAAAACUCCAACGAAUUGACGGGGCCCCGUACAAGCAGCGGAGCGUGUGGGUUACUCGGAUGCUACACGAAAGAACCUUACCUGGGUAUGACAUGUACGUGGUAGAGAAGCGAAAGCGGAUCGACCCUUCGGGGAGCGUACACAGGUGCUGCAUGGCUGUCGUCAGCUCGUCCCGUGAGGUGUCGGGUUAAGUCCCGUAACGA